rnacentral:rRNA from 1 species
UACGAAGGGGGCUAGCGUUGCUCGGAAUCACUGGGCGUAAAGCGCACGUAGGCGGACUUUUAAGUCAGGGGUGAAAUCCUGGAGCUCAACUCCAGAACUGCCUUUGAUACUGGAAGUCUUGAGUUCGAGAGAGGUGAGUGGAACUGACGAGUGUAGAGGUGAAAUUCGUAGAUAUUCGCAAGAACACCAGUGGCGAAGGCGGCUCACUGGCUCGGAUAACUGACGCUGAGGUGCGAAAGCGUGGGGAGCAAACAGG